rnacentral:Y_RNA from 1 species
GGCUGGUCUGAAUCAGUGGUGUUUACAACUAACUGACCACAACCAGUUAUAGAUUCCUUUGUUCCUUCUCCAUUCCCACUGCUUCACUUGACUAGCCUUAA